CCAGCUCCAAUAGCGUAUAUUAAAGUUGUUGCAGUUAAAAAGCUCGUAGUUGGAUUUCAAGAAACGCAAUGAGCAAUCAUCUGCUUUCUACCAGUCUUUGACUGUUACUGUGAGAAAAUUAGAGUGUUUCAAGCAGGCUUUUGCAGGAAUACAUUAGCAUGGAAUAACGAAUGUGUCUACAAUUUGGUUGAUUGUAGAUUUCAAUUAAUAGGGACAGUUGGGGGCAUUAGUAUUUAAUUGUCAGAGGUGGAAUUCUUGGAUUUGUUAAAGACUAACGUAUGCGAAAGCAUUUGCCAAGGAUGUUUUCA
rnacentral:rRNA from 1 species